AGAGCGAACGCUGGCGGCAGGCCUAACACAUGCAAGUCGAACGGACCCUUCGGGGUUAGUGGCGGACGGGUGAGUAACACGUGGGAACGUGCCUUUAGGUUCGGAAUAGCUCCUGGAAACGGGUGGUAAUGCCGAAUGUGCCCUUCGGGGGAAAGAUUUAUCGCCUUUAGGAGCGGCCCGCGCCUGAUUAGCUUGUUGGUGAGGUAAUGGCUCACCAAGGCUACGAUCAGUAGCUGGUCUGAGAGGAUGACCAGCCACAUUGGGACUGAGACACGGCCCAAACUCCUACGGGAGGCAGCAGUGGGGAAUCUUGCGCAAUGGGCGAAAGCCUGACGCAGCCAUGCCGCGUGUAUGAUGAAGGUCUUAGGAUUAGUAAAUACUUUCACCGGUGAAGAUAAUGACUGUAGCCGGAGAAGAACGCCCGGACUAACUUCGUGCCGAGCCAGCCGAC
rnacentral:rRNA from 1 species